GUUGUAUGGUUAAGUGACUAAGCGUACACGGUGGAUGCCUGGGCAGUCAGAGGCGAUGAAGGACGUACUAACUUGCGAUAAGCGCAGAUAAGGCAGUAAGAGCCGUUUGAGUCUGCGAUUUCCGAAUGGGGAAACCCAACUGCAUAAGCAGUUACUGUUAACUGAAUACAUAGGUUAACAGAGCAAACCGGGGGAACUGAAACAUCUAAGUACCCCGAGGAGAAGAAAUCAACCGAGAUUCCGGUAGUAGCGGCGAGCGAACCUGGAUUAGCCCUUAAGCACUCGGUGAAGUAGGUGAACAAGCUGGAAAGCUUGGCGAUACAGGGUGAUAGCCCCGUAACCGACGCUUCAUCGAGCGUGAAAUCGAGUAGGGCGGGACACGUGAUAUCCUGUCUGAAUAUGGGGGGACCAUCCUCCAAGGCUAAAUACUCCUGACUGACCGAUAGUGAACCAGUACCGUGAGGGAAAGGCGAAAAGAACCCCUGUGAGGGGAGUGAAAUAGAACCUGAAACCGUGUACGUACAAGCAGUAGGAGCACCUUCGUGGUGUGACUGCGUACCUUUUGUAUAAUGGGUCAGCGACUUAUAUUCAGUGGCAAGGUUAACCGUAUAGGGGAGCCGUAGCGAAAGCGAGUCUUAACUGGGCGCUCAGUCUCUGGAUAUAGACCCGAAACCGGGUGAUCUAGCCAUGGGCAGGUUGAAGGUUGAGUAACAUCAACUGGAGGACCGAACCGACUAAUGUUGAAAAAUUAGCGGAUGACUUGUGGCUAGGGGUGAAAGGCCAAUCAAACUCGGAGAUAGCUGGUUCUCCCCGAAAGCUAUUUAGGUAGCGCCUCGGACGAAUACUACUGGGGGUAGAGCACUGUUAAGGCUAGGGGGUCAUCCCGACUUACCAACCCUUUGCAAACUCCGAAUACCAGUAAGUACUAUCCGGGAGACACACGGCGGGUGCUAACGUCCGUCGUGGAGAGGGAAACAACCCAGACCGCCAGCUAAGGUCCCAAAGUAUUGCUAAGUGGGAAACGAUGUGGGAAGGCUCAGACAGCUAGGAUGUUGGCUUAGAAGCAGCCAUCAUUUAAAGAAAGCGUAAUAGCUCACUAGUCGAGUCGGCCUGCGCGGAAGAUGUAACGGGGCUAAGCAAUACACCGAAGCUGCGGCAAUAUCUUUUAGAUAUUGGGUAGGGGAGCGUUCUGUAAGCCGUUGAAGGUGAAUCGUAAGGUUUGCUGGAGGUAUCAGAAGUGCGAAUGCUGACAUGAGUAACGACAAAGGGGGUGAAAAACCUCCUCGCCGGAAGACCAAGGGUUCCUGUCCAACGUUAAUCGGGGCAGGGUGAGUCGACCCCUAAGGUGAGGCCGAAAGGCGUAAUCGAUGGGAAACGGGUUAAUAUUCCCGUACUUCUGACUAUUGCGAUGGGGGGACGGAGAAGGCUAGGUGGGCCAGGCGACGGUUGUCCUGGUUCAAGUGCGUAGGCUUGAGAGUUAGGUAAAUCCGGCUCUCUCUAAGGCUGAGACACGACGUCGAGCUGCUACGGCAGUGAAGUCAUUGAUGCCAUGCUUCCAGGAAAAGCCUCUAAGCUUCAGAUAGUCAGGAAUCGUACCCCAAACCGACACAGGUGGUCGGGUAGAGAAUACCAAGGCGCUUGAGAGAACUCGGGUGAAGGAACUAGGCAAAAUGGUACCGUAACUUCGGGAGAAGGUACGCUCUUGAUGGUGAAGUCCCUCGCGGAUGGAGCUGACGAGAGUCGCAGAUACCAGGUGGCUGCAACUGUUUAUUAAAAACACAGCACUGUGCAAAAUCGCAAGAUGACGUAUACGGUGUGACGCCUGCCCGGUGCCGGAAGGUUAAUUGAUGGGGUUAGCGCAAGCGAAGCUCUUGAUCGAAGCCCCGGUAAACGGCGGCCGUAACUAUAACGGUCCUAAGGUAGCGAAAUUCCUUGUCGGGUAAGUUCCGACCUGCACGAAUGGCGUAAUGAUGGCCACGCUGUCUCCACCCGAGACUCAGUGAAAUUGAAAUCGCUGUGAAGAUGCAGUGUACCCGCGGCUAGACGGAAAGACCCCGUGAACCUUUACUACAGCUUGGCACUGAACAUUGAACCUACAUGUGUAGGAUAGGUGGGAGGCUAUGAAGACGUGACGCCAGUUGCGUUGGAGCCGUCCUUGAAAUACCACCCUUGUAUGUUUGAUGUUCUAACUUAG
rnacentral:rRNA from 1 species